rnacentral:rRNA from 1 species
GCGAACGCUGGCGGCGUGCUUCACACAUGCAAGUCGAACGGUGAAGCGCCUUCCUUUUUGGUGGGUGUGGAUGAGUGGCGAACGGGUGAGUAACACGUGAGUAACCUGCCCCCUUCUUCUGGAUAACCGCAUGAAAGUGUGGCUAAUACGGGAUAUUCUGGGUCUGUCGCAUGAUGGGUCUGGGAAAGAUAUUGUUUCGGUGGGGGAUGGGCUCGCGGCCUAUCAGCUUGUUGGUGGGGUGAUGGCCUACCAAGGCGGUGACGGGUAGCCGGCCUGAGAGGGUGGACGGUCACACUGGGACUGAGACACGGCCCAGACUCCUACGGGAGGCAGCAGUGGGGAAUAUUGCACAAUGGGCGCAAGCCUGAUGCAGCGACGCCGCGUGAGGGAUGGAGGCCUUCGGGUUGUGAACCUCUUUCGCCAGUGAAGCAGGCCUGCCUCGUUUGUGGGUGGGUUGACGGUAGCUGGAUAAGAAGCGCCGGCUAACUACGUG